rnacentral:rRNA from 1 species
GAGUUUGAUCGUGGCUCAGGAUGAACGCUGGCGGCGUGCUUAACACAUGCAAGUCGAACGAUGAUCCCAGCUUGCUGGGGGAUUAGUGGCGAACGGGUGAGUAACACGUGAGUAACCUGCCCUUGACUCUGGGAUAAGCCUGGGAAACUGGGUCUAAUACCGGAUAUGACCUUCCAUCGCAUGGUGGUUGGUGGAAAGCUUUUGUGGUUUUGGAUGGACUCGCGGCCUAUCAGCUUGUUGGUGAGGUAAUGGCUUACCAAGGCGGCGACGGGUAGCCGGCCUGAGAGGGUGACCGGCCACACUGGGACUGAGACACGGCCCAGACUCCUACGGGAGGCAGCAGUGGGGAAUAUUGCACAAUGGGCGCAAGCCUGAUGCAGCGACGCCGCGUGAGGGAUGACGGCC